UACGUAGGGGGCUAGCGUUGUCCGGAAUCAUUGGGCGUAAGAGCGUGUAGGCGGCCCGGUAAGUCCGCUGUGAAAGUCAAAGGCUCAACCUUUGAAUGUCAGCGGAUACUGCCGGGCUAGAGUCCGGAAGAGGCGAGUGGAACUCCUGGUGUAGCGGUGGAAUGCGCAGAUAUCAGGAAGAACACCAACGGCGAAGGCAGCUCGCUGGGACGGUACUGACGCUGAGACGCGAAAGCGUGGGGAGCGAACAGG
rnacentral:rRNA from 1 species